rnacentral:rRNA from 1 species
GCGAAAGCGAGUCCGAAUAGGGCGAUUGAGUCGCGUGCUCUAGACCCGAAGCGGAGUGAUCUAUCCAUGGCCAGGGUGAAGCGACGGUAAGACGUCGUGGAGGCCCGAACCCACUUGGGUUAAAAACCGAGGGGAUGAGCUGUGGAUAGGGGUGAAAGGCCAAUCAAACUGAGAGAUAGCUCGUACUCCCCGAAAUGCAUUUAGGUGCAGCGUUGAGGAUUAUAGUUAUAGAGGUAGAGCUACUGAUUGGAUGCGGGGGCUUCACCGCCUACCAAUUCCUGACAAACUCCGAAUGCUAUAUAAUGUUUCAGGGCAGUGAGGGCAUGGGUGCUAAGGUCCAUGUCCGAGAGGGAAAGAACCCGGACCAUCAGCUAAGGUCCCCAAAUAUGUGCUAAGUUGACAAAACGCGGUGGGACUGCACAGACAGCCAGGAUGUUGGCUUGGAAGCAGCCAUU